UACGUAGGGCGCAAGCGUUGUCCGGAAUUAUUGGGCGUAAAGAGCUCGUAGGCGGUUUGUCGCGUCUGCUGUGAAAACCUAAGGCUCAACCUUGGGCUUGCAGUGGGUACGGGCAGACUAGAGUGCGGUAGGGGUGACUGGAAUUCCUGGUGUAGCGGUGGAAUGCGCAGAUAUCAGGAGGAACACCGAUGGCGAAGGCAGGUCUCUGGGCAUUAACUGACGCUGAGGAGCGAAAGCAUGGGGAGCGAACAGG
rnacentral:rRNA from 1 species